GGGGAGGGUGCCUGGUACAGACGGCAAGUUAUCGGGCACGACAUCUCCAGUGGAUCCUGAAAGACAGGCAUCUGGUUAAAGUCGUACGAAGCCAAUAACUUGUGGAGGAAGCUGGAGCUAGGACGAGGGGGAACAACCUGCUGAAUUUAUUCAUGACUCACAACCUUGCUGAAGGAGAUGGGGCAACCGCUAUAUCACUGGUAGAAUGAUUCCUGACAGAUUUUUAAUUUCCAUGCUUUAUAAUAUCAGUCCAUAUAUCACCACAUGUGGUGAAUAACUGAUAUGUUGUGACAUUGGAUACCACAAGCUGUUUGCUCACAGAGGGAAGUCUUCCUCAUCUGUAUAAAUUAUACAUUCUCUCAUCUUGCCUUUGUGACAAAGAAUGUCUAAUGGUUUUCACAAACACUUUGGAACAGACAUAUUAGAAAUAAAUUCAAGUAAUAAACCUUUACUUUUAUGUCGCUUGUCUUACUGUAACUCACUACAAUCUAUAAACAGUAGGGUUCCAAACCCAUUUGAUACUUUCUCCCAAAUGUACGCAAGAAGAAUAUCAUUAUCACUCCAAAUACAC